CCCGUUAUUUUUCAACUGAUUAAUACAUUUUGUUAUUUCAAUCCCCAACAACUGCCAGUGACGUUAUGGAAACUUUAAAAACCUACUCAUUAAUAGAAUACAGGAUAAUCCUGUAGCCAAGGCCCCUGAUUUUAUGUAUUUCAAUCUUUUCCGCAUGUUUGAAAGUGUAUUGUGAAAAAGACAAAAAAAUAUACGAGAUGAUGGAUAUAAACAAGCAGAAAUAUCUUGAUAAUAGGUGAUAAAAUGGAGGCAGAUGAGUAAUAAAUACGAGUGUUUGGUAGGUUUACGAGUAAUUAUUUUAUCGAUACACGUUGUGGUAAAAAAAGCCGGAGAAAAAACCUCUUGGCAUUUAGUGGUAACUGGCGUGCCGCCUGAACUAUGAGACUGAUAAUACUCAUGCUGGAUCCUAUGGUUCCAAUCAUAAAUAGGUUGACUUGGGUGCCCCUAACAUCGAACUUCCUCUCUUGUGAGUCGAGCGAUUAUUGUUGGUGGCAAUGCGAGUUUCUCUGGGGUGGGGGUCACUACCUUCAGGCCGCAGCAGGAGUGGAGGCAAAUGAUACCCUAGAUGUACUACGUUGACUUGUGCCCUCUCAGCCUGAAGGAACUCUGCCACUAAAUCAUAACUACGAUCCAUUCAAGAGUUGCGCAAGAAAUGAAGACAAAUGCCUCGCGGUCACCAGUAUGGAGAACGUAUGUGGUGAUAUCAAUUCACAAUCACCAGUCGGCGGAUCGGUAGGGAUUGGGUGGUGAGGCCCUAAGUUCACCGGAUUACUGAUAAUAAAGAUUACCAUGAUGCAGGA